rnacentral:rRNA from 1 species
GACGAACGCUGGCGGCGUGCUUAACACAUGCAAGUCGAACGGAAAGACCCUGCUUUUGUGGGGUGCUCGAGUGGCGAACGGGUGAGUAACACGUGAGUAACCUGCCCUUGACUUUGGGAUAACUUCAGGAAACUGGGGCUAAUACCGGAUAGGAGCUCCUGCUGCAUGGUGGGGGUUGGAAAGUUUCGGCGGUUGGGGAUGGACUCGCGGCUUAUCAGCUUGUUGGUGGGGUAGUGGAUUACCAAGGCUUUGACGGGUAGCAGGCCUGAGAGGGUGACCGGCCACAUUGGGACUGAGAUACGGCCGAGACUCCUACGGGAGGCAGCAGUGGGGAAUAUUGCACAAUGGGCGGAAGCCUGAUGCAGCAACGCCGCGUGCGGGAUGACGGCCUUCGGGUUGUAAACCGCUUUCGCCUGUGACGAAGCGUGAGUGACGGUAAUGUGUAAAGAAGCACCGGCUAACUACGUG